rnacentral:tRNA from 1 species
GCCGCGGGCGGCGGCGAGGGCGAGCUGCUCGGGGUCGCGGCCGGGGUCGUCGGCCGGUUCGACGGCGUACGGCCGUUCGAGUCGGCGCGUGCGGCG